UUGAGCAAUGAAAAAUAGAUAAGUUAUUCCAGUAGGUAUAACAUCAAAGUUUGAUGUUAUACCUGCUGGAAUAAAUUAUCUAUUUUUCAUUUCUCAAGCCCUAAGAGU